UACGUAGGGUGCAAGCGUUGUCCGGAAUUAUUGGGCGUAAAGCGCGUGUAGGCGGCUCGAUAAGUCUGCUGUGAAAGUCCAAGGCUCAACCUUGGGAUGCCGGUGGAUACUGUCGAGCUCGAGUCCGGAAGAGGAGUGUGGAAUUCCUGGUGUAGCGGUGAAAUGCGCAGAUAUCAGGAGGAACACCAAUGGCGAAGGCAGCUCGCUGGGACGUAACUGACGCUGAGACGCGAAAGCGUGGGGAGCAAACAGG
rnacentral:rRNA from 1 species